rnacentral:misc_RNA from 1 species
CGUGAGGGAGGAGGCCCUAGGGUUGUAAACCUCUUUUCUCUGGGAAGAAGAACUGACGGUACCAGAGGAAUAAGCCUCGGCUAACUCCGUGCCAGCAGCCGCGGUAAGACGGAGGAGGCAAGCGUUAUCCGGAAUUAUUGGGCGUAAAGCGUCCGCAGGCGGUUAAUUAAGUCUGUUGUCAAAGCCCACAGCUCAACUGUGGAUCGGCAAUGGAAACUGGUUGACUUGAGUGUGGUAGGGGUAGAGGGAAUUCCCGGUGUAGCGGUGAAAUGCGUAGAUAUCGGGAAGAACACCAGUGGCGAAGGCGCUCUACUGGGCCACAACUGACGCUGAGGGACGAAAGCUAGGGGAGCGAAAGGGAUUAGAUACCCCUGUAGUCCUAGCUGUAAACGAUGGAUACUAGGUGUUGGACGUAUCGACCCGUGCAGUACCGUAGCUAACGCGUUAAGUAUCCCGCCUGGGGAGUACGCACGCAAGUGUGAAACUCAAAGGAAUUGACGGGGGCCCGCACAAGCGGUGGAGGAUGUGGUUUAAUUCGAUGCAACGCGAAGAACCUUACCAAGGCUUGACAUGUCGCGAAUCUUUCAGAGAUGAGAGAGUGCCUUCGGGAGCGCGAACACAGGUGGUGCAUGGCUGUCGUCAGCUCGUGUCGUGAGAUGUUGGGUUAAGUCCCGCAACGAGCGCAACCCUCGUUUUUAGUUGCCAGCAUUCAGUUGGGCACUCUAAAGAGACUGCCGGGGACAACUCGGAGGAAGGUGGGGACGACGUCAAGUCAUCAUGCCCCUUACGUCUUGGGCUACACACGUCCUACAAUGCUACAGACAGAGGGCAGCGAGCGCGCGAGUGCAAGCAAAUCCCAUAAACUGUGGCUCAGUUCAGAUUGCAGGCUGCAACUCGCCUGCAUGAAGGCGGAAUCGCUAGUAAUCGCAGGUCAGCAUACUGCGGGUGAAUACGUUCCCGGGCCUUGUACACACCCGCCCGUCACACCAUGGGAAGUUGGCCACGCCCCGAAGUCGUUACUCUAACCGUUCGCGGAGGAGGGCGCCGAAGGCAGGGCUGAUGACUGGGGUGAAGUCGUAACAAGGUAGCCGUACCGGAAGGUGUGGCUGGAUCACCUCCUUUUAGGGAGACCUACCCUUGAUAACUCCGAACCAUUGUUAUUAGGAGUAUCGAGCGGUCACUCUAGGUCGUUCAGGACUUUGAGACUAGUUUCUAGACUAUGGUUGAGGUUUAUUUCUUGACUUUCACUAGUGAUAGUGAGGGAAAAGGGAACUAAACACGGGCUAUUAGCUCAGGUGGUUAGAGCGCACCCCUGAUAAGGGUGAGGUCCCUGGUUCGAGUCCAGGAUGGCCCACUGCGUGGGGGUUUAGCUCAGUUGGUAGAGCGCCUGCUUUGCAAGCAGGAUGUCAGCGGUUCGAGUCCGCUAACCUCCACCACGAAAGCAAGGGAUUCAAUUCAGCACGGUGUGUGUUUCUUGGCUUGUCAAGAGGAUGCAUAGUCUGCUGGGUGAGAGCCCGGCUUGAGAACCUUGAAAACUGAAUAUGAGAGAAGUGUAAGGUAGUACACACAGAACAUUCAAAGUUCGUUGAGAGAAGAGUGAACUUGAUUAGUUACGACUAAUUGAGUGAAGGUCAAGCUACAACGGGCUCACGGUGGUAUCGUUUUGGG